GCUUAUCACCAUUCCAGAUUGAAUAUACCCGAUCUCGUCUGAUCUCGGAAGUCAAGCAAUCUCGGGCUUGGUUAGUACUUGGAUGGGUGACCGCUUGGGAACACGAAGUGUGAUAAGCA
rnacentral:rRNA from 1 species